AGGAUGAACGCUGGCGGAGUGCCUAAUACAUGCAAGUCGAGCGGCAGCGCGAGUAGUUUACUACUUGGCGGCGAGCGGCGGACGGCUGAGUAACGCGUGGGAACGUGCCCCAAAGUGAGGAAUAACUGCCCGAAAGGGUAGCUAAUGCCGCAUAUGAUCUUCGGAUUAAAGGAUUUAUCCGCUUUGGGAGCGGCCCGCGUCAGUAUUAGGUAGUUGGUGAGUAAGCUCACAGCCGACGAUCUGUAGCUGAUCGUGAGAGGAUGAU
rnacentral:rRNA from 1 species